CACGUGUAAUCCUGUCUGAAGAUCGGGGGACCACCCCCGAAGGCUAAGUACUCCUUGCUGACCGAUAGCGAACCAGUACCGUGAGGGAAAGGUGAAAAGCACCCCGACGAGGGGAGUGAAACAGUACCUGAAACCGGACGCCUACAAGCAGUCGGAGGGGCCUUGAGCCCUGACGGCGUACCUUUUGUAUAAUGGGUCAACGACUUGGUCUAACGAGCGAGCUUAAGCCGAUAGGUGGAGGCGCAGCGAAAGCGAGUCUUAAAAGGGCGCAUGAGUUCGUUGGAUCAGACCCGAAACCAGGUGAUCUAGCCAUGAGCAGGAUGAAGGUUGGGUAACACCAACUGGAGGUCCGAACCAACACCCGUUGAAAAGGGUCUGGAUGACUUGUGGCUAGGGGUGAAAGGCUAAUCAAACCUGGAGAUAGCUGGUUCUCCGCGAAAGCUAUUAGGUAGCGCCUCGGACGAAUACCAUCGGGGGUAGAGCACUGCAUGGGUAAUGGGGUCCCACAGACUUACUGAGCCUAAGCAAACUCCGAAUACCG
rnacentral:rRNA from 1 species